rnacentral:tRNA from 1 species
GGAGCAUAGCUCAGCCUGGUUCAGAGCAUCUGCCUUACAAGCAGAGGGUCACAGGUUCGAAUCCUGUUGCUCCCA